rnacentral:rRNA from 1 species
UACGCAGGCGGUUUAAUAAGUCGAAUGUUAAAGAUCGGGGCUCAACCCCGUAAAGCAUUGGAAACUGAUAAACUUGAGUAGUGGAGAGGAAAGUGGAAUUCCUAGUGUAGUGGUGAAAUACGUAGAUAUUAGGAGGAAUACCAGUAGCGAAGGCGACUUUCUGGACACAAACUGACGCUGAGGUACGAAAGCGUGGGGAGCAAACA